UACGAAGGGGACUAGCGUUGUUCGGAAUCACUGGGCGUAAAGCGCACGUAGGCGGAUAUGUCAGUCAGGGGUGAAAUCCCGGGGCUCAACCUCGGAACUGCCUUUGAUACAGCAUAUCUUGAGUCCGAUAGAGGUGGGUGGAAUUCCUAGUGUAGAGGUGAAAUUCGUAGAUAUUAGGAAGAACACCGGUGGCGAAGGCGGCCCACUGGAUCGGUACUGACGCUGAGGCACGAAAGCGUGGGGAGCAAACAGG
rnacentral:rRNA from 1 species